rnacentral:rRNA from 1 species
AUCGAACGAAGAGUUUGAUCCUGGCUCAGGAUGAACGCUGACAGAAUGCUUAACACAUGCAAGUCGACUCGAGUCUUCGGACUUGGGUGGCGCACGGGUGAGUAACGCGUAAAGAACUUGCCUCUUAGACCGGGACAACAUCUGGAAACGGAUGCUAAUACCGGAUAUUAUGGUUUUUUCGCAUGGAGGAAUCAUGAAAGCUAGAUGCGCUAAGAGAGAGCUUUGCGUCCCAUUAGCUGGUUGGUGAG